UACGGGGGGGGCAAGCGUUGUUCGGAAUUACUGGGCGUAAAGCGCGCGUAGGCGGCCCUUCAAGUCGGGCGUGAAAGCUCCGGGCUUAACCCGGAAAUUGCGUUCGAUACUGUCGGGCUAGAGUGUGGAAGGGGCUACCGGAAUUCCGUGUGUAGCGGUGAAAUGCGUAGAUAUACGGAGGAACACCAGCGGCGAAGGCGGGUAGCUGGGCCAACACUGAUGCUGAGGCGCGAAAGCUAGGGUAGCAAACGGG
rnacentral:rRNA from 1 species